GGGACUUCGGUCCCGAGUAGAGUGGCGCACGGGUGAGUAACGCGUAAGUGAUCUACCCCUGUAUUUGGGAUAACUGUGGGAAACUGCAGCUAAUACCGGAUACGUUCAUAUUCUUGCGAGUAUAUGAAGAAAGAUGGCCUCUGAUUCAAGCUAUUGUACAGGGAGGAGCUUGCGUACCAUUAGCUAGUUGGUAGGGUAAUGGCCUACCAAGGCAACGAUGGUUAGCGGGUCUGAGAGGAUGAUCCGCCACACUGGAACUGAAACACGGACCAGACUCCUACGGGAGGCAGCAGUGAGGAAUAUUGCGCAAUGGGGGCAACCCUGACGCAGCGACGCCGCGUGGAUGAUGAAGGCCUUCGGGUCGUAAAAUCCUGUCAGAUGGGAAGAAGUGUGUGAUGGUUAAUACCCAUUGCAUUUGACGGUACCAUCAGAGGAAGCACCGGCUAACUCCGUGCCAGCAGCCGCGGUAAUACGGAGGGUGCAAGCGUUGUUCGGAAUUACUGGGCGUAAAGCGCGCGUAGGCGGUUUGUUAAGUCAGAUGUGAAAGCCCAGGGCUCAACCCUGGACGUGCAUUUGAAACUGGCAGACUUGAGUAUUGGAGGGGGUGGUGGAAUUCCCGGUGUAGAGGUGAAAUUCGUAGAUAUCGGGAGGAAUACCGGUGGCGAAGGCGACCACCUGGCCAAAUACUGACGCUGAGGUGCGAAAGCGUGNGGAGCAAACAGGAUUAGAUACCCUGGUAGUCCACGNCGUAAACGAUGAGAACUAGGUGUUGGGACGGUUGAUCGUCUCAUUGCCGCAGCUAACGCAUUAAGU
rnacentral:rRNA from 1 species